rnacentral:miRNA from 14 species
CAUGUAAAUAUUCCACCAAAAUUCAUAGUUCUAGGAACCACCAAAAGUGUAUACAUACACACACACACACAUAUAUAUAUGUAUGUGUGUGUGUGUGUGUGUAUGUAUUCAGAUAUAUAUACAUA